GCAGUCGAACGAUGAUGCCCAGCUUGCUGGGCGGAUUAGUGGCGAACGGGUGAGUAAUACGUGAGUAACCUGCCCUUGACUCUGGGAUAAGCCUGGGAAACUGGGUCUAAUACUGGAUACUACCUCUUACCGCAUGGUGGGUGGUGGAAAGGGUUUUACUGGUUUUGGAUGGGCUCACGGCCUAUCAGCUUGUUGGUGGGGUAAUGGCUCACCAAGGCGACGACGGGUAGCCGGCCUGAGAGGGUGACCGGCCACACUGGGACUGAGACACGGCCCAGACUCCUACGGGAGGCAGCAGUGGGGAAUAUUGCACAAUGGGCGGAAGCCUGAUGCAGCGACGCCGCGUGAGGGAUGACGGCCUUCGGGUUGUAAACCUCUUUCAGUAGGGAAGAAGCGAGAGUGACGGUACCUGCAGAAGAAGCGCCGGCUAACUACGUGCCAGCAGCCGCGGUAAUACGUAGGGCGCAAGCGUUGUCCGGAAUUAUUGGGCGUAAAGAGCUCGUAGGCGGUUUGUCGCGUCUGCUGUGAAAGCCCGGGGCUCAACCCCGGGUCUGCAGUGGGUACGGGCAGACUAGAGUGCAGUAGGGGAGACUGGAAUUCCUGGUGUAGCGGUGAAAUGCGCAGAUAUCAGGAGGAACACCGAUGGCGAAGGCAGGUCUCUGGGCUGUUACUGACGCUGAGGAGCGAAAGCAUGGGGAGCGAACAGGAUUAGAUACCCUGGUAGUCCAUGCCGUAAACGUUGGGCACUAGGUGUGGGGGACAUUCCACGUUUUCCGCGCCGUAGCUAACGCAUUAAGUGCCCCGCCUGGGGAGUACGGCCGCAAGGCUAAAACUCAAAGGAAUUGACGGGGGCCCGCACAAGCGGCGGAGCAUGCGGAUUAAUUCGAUGCAACGCGAAGAACCUUACCAAGGCUUGACAUUCACCGGACCGCCCCAGAGAUGGGGUUUCCCUUCGGGGCUGGUGGACAGGUGGUGCAUGGUUGUCGUCAGCUCGUGUCGUGAGAUGUUGGGUUAAGUCCCGCAACGAGCGCAACCCUCGUUCUAUGUUGCCAGCACGUGAUGGUGGGGACUCAUAGGAGACUGCCGGGGUCAACUCGGAGGAAGGUGGGGAUGACGUCAAAUCAUCAUGCCCCUUAUGUCUUGGGCUUCACGCAUGCUACAAUGGCCGGUACAAAGGGUUGCGAUACUGUGAGGUGGAGCUAAUCCCAAAAAGCCGGUCUCAGUUCGGAUUGAGGUCUGCAACUCGACCUCAUGAAGUCGGAGUCGCUAGUAAUCGCAGAUCAGCAACGCUGCGGUGAAUACGUUCCCGGGCCUUGUACACACCGCCCGUCAAGUCACGAAAGUUGGUAACACCCGAAGCCGGUGGCCUAACCCCUUGUGGGAGGGAGC
rnacentral:rRNA from 1 species